AGUGAACGCUGGCGGUAGGCCUAACACAUGCAAGUCGAACGGCAGCACAGUAAGAGCUUGCUCUUACGGGUGGCGAGUGGCGGACGGGUGAGGAAUACAUCGGAAUCUACUUUUUCGUGGGGGAUAACGUAGGGAAACUUACGCUAAUACCGCAUACGACCUACGGGUGAAAGCAGGGGAUCUUCGGACCUUGCGCGAUUGAAUGAGCCGAUGUCGGAUUAGCUAGUUGGCGGGGUAAAGGCCCACCAAGGCGACGAUCCGUAGCUGGUCUGAGAGGAUGAUCACCCACACUGGAACUGAGACACGGUCCAGACUCCUACGGGAGGCAGCAGUGGGGAAUAUUGGACGAUGGGCGCAAGCCUGAUCCAGCCAUACCGCGUGGGUGAAGAAGGCCUUCGGGUUGUAAAGCCCUUUUGUUGGGAAAGAAAAGCAGCAGGUUAAUACCCCGCUGUUCUGACGGUACCCAAAGAAUAAGCACCGGCUAACUUCGUG
rnacentral:rRNA from 1 species